GCUCCGGUGGCCUAGUGGUUAGAGCGUCCACAUCAUAUGCGGGAGGUCGUGGGAUCGAUCUCCGGUCGAGUCA